UGAGAAUUCAAUAUAUAAUUCAAAACAAGACGCAGUUUGAGACUGUCUCAAACUGCGUCUUGUUUUGAAUUAUAUAUUGAAUUUU
rnacentral:miRNA from 1 species